rnacentral:rRNA from 1 species
UACGAAGGGGGCUAGCGUUGCUCGGAAUUACUGGGCGUAAAGGGAGCGUAGGCGGGUUAUCAAGUUGGGGGUGAAAGCCCGGGCUCAACCUCGGAAUUGCCUUCAAAACUGAUAACCUGGAGUAUGGAAGAGGUAAGCGGAACUCCGAGUGUAGAGGUGAAAUUCGUAGAUAUUCGGAAGAACACCAGUGGCGAAGGCGACUUACUGGUCCAUUACUGACGCUGAGGCUCGAAAGCGUGGGGAGCAACAGG